rnacentral:rRNA from 1 species
GACGAACGCUGGCGGCGUGCUUAACACAUGCAAGUCGAACGGAAAGGCCCUGCUUGCCGGGUACUUGAGUGGCGAACGGGUGAGUAACACGUGGGUGAUCUGCCCUGCACUUCGGGAUAAGCCUGGGAAACUGGGUCUAAUACCGGAUAGGAGCCAUUUUUAGUGUGAUGGUUGGAAAGUUUUUUCGGUGUAGGAUGAGCUCGCGGCCUAUCAGCUUGUUGGUGGGGUAAUGGCCUACCAAGGCGGCGACGGGUAGCCGGCCUGAGAGGGUGGACGGCCACAUUGGGAGUGAGAUACGGCCCAGACUCCUACGGGAGGCAGCAGUGGGGAAUAUUGCACAAUGGGCGCAAGCCUGAUGCAGCGACGCCGCGUGGGGGAUGACGGCCUUCGGGUUGUAAACUCCUUUCGCUAGGGACGAAGCUUUUUGUGACGGUACCUAGAUAAGAAGCACCGGCUAACUACGUG